GGGUUGUGAGGUUAAGCGACUAAGCGUACACGGUGGAUGCCCUGGCAGUCAGAGGCGAUGAAGGGCGUACUAAUCUGCGAUAAGCGCCGGUAAGGUGAUAUGAACCGUUAUAACCGGCGAUACCCGAAUGGGGAAACCCAGUGUGAUUCGUCACACUAUCAUUAACUGAAUCCAUAGGUUAAUGAGGCGAACCGGGGGAACUGAAACAUCUAAGUACCCCGAGGAAAAGAAAUCAACCGAGAUUCCCCCAGUAGCGGCGAGCGAACGGGGAGGAGCCCAGAGCCUGAAUCAGCAUGUGUGUUAGUGGAAGCGUCUGGAAAGGCGCGCGAUACAGGGUGACAGCCCCGUACACAAAAGCGCAUGUGCUGUGAGCUCGAUGAGUAGGGCGGGACACGUGGUAUCCUGUCUGAAUAUGGGGGGACCAUCCUCCAAGGCUAAAUACUCCUGACUGACCGAUAGUGAACCAGUACCGUGAGGGAAAGGCGAAAAGAACCCCGGCGAGGGGAGUGAAAAAGAACCUGAAACCGUGUACGUACAAGCAGUGGGAGCACCCUUUGGGUGUGACUGCGUACCUUUUGUAUAAUGGGUCAGCGACUUAUAUUCUGUAGCAAGGUUAACCGAAUAGGGGAGCCGGAGGGAAACCGAGUCUUAACCGGGCGUUAAGUUGCAGGGUAUAGACCCGAAACCCGGUGAUCUAGCCAUGGGC
rnacentral:rRNA from 1 species